rnacentral:tRNA from 1 species
CGUAGCUCAGUUGGUAGAGCAAAUGACUCUUAAUCAUUGGGUCGAGGGUUCGAGUCCCUCCGGG